GGGUUGUGAGGUUAAGCGACUAAGCGUACACGGUGGAUGCCCUGGCAGUCAGAGGCGAUGAAGGACGUGCUAAUCUGCGAUAAGCGUCGGUAAGGUGAUAUGAACCGUUAUAACCGGCGAUUUCCGAAUGGGGAAACCCAGUGUGAUUCGUCACACUAUCAUUAACUGAAUCCAUAGGUUAAUGAGGCGAACCGGGGGAACUGAAACAUCUAAGUACCCCGAGGAAAAGAAAUCAACCGAGAUUCCCCCAGUAGCGGCGAGCGAACGGGGAGGAGCCCAGAGCCUGAAUCAGUGUGUGUGUUAGUGGAAGCGUCUGGAAAGGCGCGCGAUACAGGGUGACAGCCCCGUACACAAAAAUGCACAURCUGUGAGCUCGAUGAGUAGGGCGGGACACGUGGUAUCCUGUCUGAAUAUGGGGGGACCAUCCUCCAAGGCUAAAUACUCCUGACUGACCGAUAGUGAACCAGUACCGUGAGGGAAAGGCGAAAAGAACCCCGGCGAGGGGAGUGAAAAAGAACCUGAAACCGUGUACGUACAAGCAGUGGGAGCCUCUUUAUGGGGUGACUGCGUACCUUUUGUAUAAUGGGUCAGCGACUUAUAUUCUGUAGCAAGGUUAACCGAAUAGGGGAGCCGAAGGGAAACCGAGUCUUAACUGGGCGUUAAGUUGCAGGGUAUAGACCCGAAACCCGGUGAUCUAGCCAUGGGCAGGUUGAAGGUUGGGUAACACUAACUGGAGGACCGAACCGACUAAUGUUGAAAAAUUAGCGGAUGACUUGUGGCUGGGGGUGAAAGGCCAAUCAAACCGGGAGAUAGCUGGUUCUCCCCGAAAGCUAUUUAGGUAGCGCCUCGUGAAUUCAUCUCCGGGGGUAGAGCACUGUUUCGGCAAGGGGGUCAUCCCGACUUACCAACCCGAUGCAAACUGCGAAUACCGGAGAAUGUUAUCACGGGAGACACACGGCGGGUGCUAACGUCCGUCGUGAAGAGGGAAACAACCCAGACCGCCAGCUAAGGUCCCAAAGUCAUGGUUAAGUGGGAAACGAUGUGGGAAGGCCCAGACAGCCAGGAUGUUGGCUUAGAAGCAGCCAUCAUUUAAAGAAAGCGUAAUAGCUCACUGGUCGAGUCGGCCUGCGCGGAAGAUGUAACGGGGCUAAACCAUGCACCGAAGCUGCGGCAGCGACACUAUGUGUUGUUGGGUAGGGGAGCGUUCUGUAAGCCUGUGAAGGUGKCCUGUGAGGSWUGCUGGAGGUAUCAGAAGUGCGAAUGCUGACAUAAGUAACGAUAAAGCGGGUGAAAAGCCCGCUCGCCGGAAGACCAAGGGUUCCUGUCCAACGUUAAUCGGGGCAGGGUGAGUCGACCCCUAAGGCGAGGCCGAAAGGCGUAGUCGAUGGGAAACAGGUUAAUAUUCCUGUACUUGGUGUUACUGCGAAGGGGGGACGGAGAAGGCUAUGUUGGCCGGGCGACGGUUGUCCCGGUUUAAGCGUGUAGGCUGAUUUUCCAGGCAAAUCCGGAAAAUCAAGGCUGAGGCGUGAUGACGAGGCACUACGGUGCUGAAGCAACAAAUGCCCUGCUUCCAGGAAAAGCCUCUAAGCAUCAGGUAACAUCAAAUCGUACCCCAAACCGACACAGGUGGUCAGGUAGAGAAUACCAAGGCGCUUGAGAGAACUCGGGUGAAGGAACUAGGCAAAAUGGUGCCGUAACUUCGGGAGAAGGCACGCUGAUAUGUAGGUGAAGCGACUUGCUCGUGGAGCUGAAAUCAGUCGAAGAUACCAGCUGGCUGCAACUGUUUAUUAAAAACACAGCACUGUGCAAACACGAAAGUGGACGUAUACGGUGUGACGCCUGCCCGGUGCCGGAAGGUUAAUUGAUGGGGUUAGCGGUAACGCGAAGCUCUUGAUCGAAGCCCCGGUAAACGGCGGCCGUAACUAUAACGGUCCUAAGGUAGCGAAAUUCCUUGUCGGGUAAGUUCCGACCUGCACGAAUGGCGUAAUGAUGGCCAGGCUGUCUCCACCCGAGACUCAGUGAAAUUGAACUCGCUGUGAAGAUGCAGUGUACCCGCGGCAAGACGGAAAGACCCCGUGAACCUUUACUAUAGCUUGACACUGAACAUUGAGCCUUGAUGUGUAGGAUAGGUGGGAGGCUUUGAAGUGUGGACGCCAGUCUGCAUGGAGCCGACCUUGAAAUACCACCCUUUAAUGUUUGAUGUUCUAACGUUGRCCCGUKAUCCGGGUUGCGGACAGUGUCUGGUGGGUAGUUUGACUGGGGCGGUCUCCUCCUAAAGAGUAACGGAGGAGCACGAAGGUUGGCUAAUCCUGGUCGGACAUCAGGAGGUUAGUGCAAUGGCAUAAGCCAGCUUGACUGCGAGCGUGACGGCGCGAGCAGGUGCGAAAGCAGGUCAUAGUGAUCCGGUGGUUCUGAAUGGAAGGGCCAUCGCUCAACGGAUAAAAGGUACUCCGGGGAUAACAGGCUGAUACCGCCCAAGAGUUCAUAUCGACGGCGGUGUUUGGCACCUCGAUGUCGGCUCAUCACAUCCUGGGGCUGAAGUAGGUCCCAAGGGUAUGGCUGUUCGCCAUUUAAAGUGGUACGCGAGCUGGGUUUAGAACGUCGUGAGACAGUUCGGUCCCUAUCUGCCGUGGGCGCUGGAGAACUGAGGGGGGCUGCUCCUAGUACGAGAGGACCGGAGUGGACGCAUCACUGGUGUUCGGGUUGUCAUGCCAAUGGCACUGCCCGGUAGCUAAAUGCGGAAGAGAUAAGUGCUGAAAGCAUCUAAGCACGAAACUUGCCCCGAGAUGAGUUCUCCCUGACUCCYUGAGAGUCCUGAAGGAACGUUGAAGACGACGACGUUGAUAGGCCGGGUGUGUAAGCGCAGCGAUGCGUUGAGCUAACCGGUACUAAUGAACCGUGAGGCUUAACCUUACAACGCCGAAG
rnacentral:rRNA from 1 species